GGGUUGUGAGGUUAAGCGACUAAGCGUACACGGUGGAUGCCCUGGCAGUCAGAGGCGAUGAAGGGCGUGCUAAUCUGCGAUAAGCGCCGGUAAGGUGAUAUGAACCGUUAUAACCGGCGAUACCCGAAUGGGGAAACCCAGUGUGAUUCGUCACACUAUCAUUAACUGAAUCCAUAGGUUAAUGAGGCGAACCGGGGGAACUGAAACAUCUAAGUACCCCGAGGAAAAGAAAUCAACCGAGAUUCCCCCAGUAGCGGCGAGCGAACGGGGAGGAGCCCAGAGCCUGAAUCAGCAUGUGUGUUAGUGGAAGCGUCUGGAAAGGCGCGCGAUACAGGGUGACAGCCCCGUACACAAAAGCGCAUGUGCUGUGAGCUCGAUGAGUAGGGCGGGACACGUGGUAUCCUGUCUGAAUAUGGGGGGACCAUCCUCCAAGGCUAAAUACUCCUGACUGACCGAUAGUGAACCAGUACCGUGAGGGAAAGGCGAAAAGAACCCCGGCGAGGGGAGUGAAAAAGAACCUGAAACCGUGUACGUACAAGCAGUGGGAGCACCCUUCGGGGUGUGACUGCGUACCUUUUGUAUAAUGGGUCAGCGACUUAUAUUCUGUAGCAAGGUUAACCGUAUAGGGGAGCCGGAGGGAAACCGAGUCUUAAUUGGGCGUUAAGUUGCAGGGUAUAGACCCGAAACCCGGUGAUCUAGCCAUGGGCAGGUUGAAGGUUGGGUAACACUAACUGGAGGACCGAACCGACUAAUGUUGAAAAAUUAGCGGAUGACCUGUGGCUGGGGGUGAAAGGCCAAUCAAACCGGGAGAUAGCUGGUUCUCCCCGAAAGCUAUUUAGGUAGCGCCUCGUGAAUUCAUCUCCGGGGGUAGAGCACUGUUUCGGCUAGGGGGCCAUCCCGGCUUACCAACCCGAUGCAAACUGCGAAUACCGGAGAAUGUUAUCACGGGAGACACACGGCGGGUGCUAACGUCCGUCGUGAAGAGGGAAACAACCCAGACCGCCAGCUAAGGUCCCAAAGUCAUGGUUAAGUGGGAAACGAUGUGGGAAGGCCCAGACAGCCAGGAUGUUGGCUUAGAAGCAGCCAUCAUUUAAAGAAAGCGUAAUAGCUCACUGGUCGAGUCGGCCUGCGCGGAAGAUGUAACGGGGCUAAACCAUGCACCGAAGCUGCGGCAGCGAACGUAUCACCCAAGACAACUUUACGGAGUUGACGAUUGACGGAGCGAAGCGACGUCAAAGCGUUCAUUAAAGUCGAGUUGGCUUAGGGAUACGUUCGUUGGGUAGGGGAGCGUUCUGUAAGCCUGUGAAGGUGUGUCGUGAGGCAUGCUGGAGGUAUCAGAAGUGCGAAUGCUGACAUAAGUAACGAUAAAGCGGGUGAAAA
rnacentral:rRNA from 1 species